UUUUAAAUUUCUGUGUGCUGGGUGGCUGGGGGAACAGCUGGGGAGGUGUUUGCAAGAAUCUGGGAGCUUGUGUGCUUUUUUUUGAAUUUUUAUGAUUUUUUGUGACCAUUGGGCCAUGUUGUUGUUUUUUGAAAAAAGUUUCUGGGUUUUAAAUUUCUGUGUGCUGGGUGGCUGGGGGAACAGCUGGGGAGGUGUUUGCAAGAAUCUGGGAGCUUGUGUGCUUUCUUUUGAAUUUUUAUGAUAUAUUGGGUCCAUUGGGCCUUGUUGUUGUUUUUUUAAAAAUGUUUCUCGGUUUUAAAUUUCUGUGUGCUGGGUGGAUGGGGGAACAGCUGGGGAGGUGUUUGCAAGAAUCUGGGAGCUUGUGUGCUUUUUUUUGAAUUUUUAUGAUUUUUGUGACCAUUGGGCCAUGUUGUUGUUUUUUCAAAAAGUUUCUGGGUUUUAAAUUUCUGUGUGCUGGGUGGCUGGGGGAACAGCUGGGGAGGUGUUUGCAAGAAUCUGGGAGCUUGUGUGCUUUUUUUUGAAUUUUUAUGAUUUUAUGUUACCAUUGGGCCAUGUUGUUUUUUUUUUAAAAAGUUUCUGGGUUUUAAAUUUCUGUGUGCUGGGUGGCUGGGGGAACAGCUGGGGAGGGGUUUGCAAGAAUCUGGGAGCUUGUGUGCUUUUUUUUGAAUUUUUAUGGUUUUCUGUAACCAUUGGGCCAUGUUGUUUUUUUUUGAAAAAGUUUCUGGGUUUUGAAUUUCUGUGUGCUGGGUGGCUGGGGGAACAGUUGAGGAGGGGUUUGCAGGAAUCUGGGAGCUUGUGUGCUUUUUUUUGAAUUUUUAUGGUUUUCUGUAACCAUUGGGCCAUGUUGUUUUUUUUUGAAAAAGUUUCUGGGUUUUGAAUUUCUGUGUGCUGGGUGGCUGGGGGAAC